AUGACUCCGGAUCACAUAGAGGCAGCCAAAGUUUUUGUUGAGACUCUUGCAUCGUCAAAGAAGCAUGCACACCGAACCGUGGUUGAUGUGCCGCCAUCAGAUGGGGACAUAUGCACGCCAGCUAUGCUUCACGAUGUCCUAAUGUUUAAAUGGUUGAAUGGCGCUAUCAUCAAUGCAUAUUCUAAACACCUACAACACCGUGAUUUUUCUGAUCGUUACAUAUCAACAACGUGGUUCCCCAAAUUUAAGUUGAAUAGGGCAAGGGGAAAGACCAAGUCAGUAAAUGAUAUAGACUCAGAGAAUCUUACAAAGAAAACAAAAGUCCUCACAAGAGUAAUGGAUGAGUAUUUCAGACGGGACAAGGCGUAUUUUCCUAUGUAUGUUAAUGAUAAUCAUUGGAUAACCAUAGUGAUGCACACCGUCAAGGAGGAGUUUCAAGUUCUUGACUCAAAUUCUAAAGGCGCAAUUAGCCAAAGAAUUCGCAAUAUGAUUGCCACCCUGAGAGCUGAAAUUUCUAAGGAUAUUAUGGAGGCCAACUCAACUCUUGAAGCAAAAAAAAUUCCAGAUGUCUCAUCGUGGCCAAUAAAUGAGUACAAAAUGCCGAGACAAAAAGAUGGAGUGUCUUGUGGAAUUUUUGUGAUGUGGUGCAUAAAAUACUGGGACGGAGAUCGCUGGACAUAUGAAUUUGACCAGGAAGAGAUUAAUGCGUCAAGGCCACGUAUUGUCGCGGAAAUUAUUUUUUCAGAGGUGAACAAAUUAGAGAAGGUCAAGAUGAAAAUUGUUAAAAUCAUGGAGAAGGAAUAG
rnacentral:rRNA from 1 species